UCUGGGAUAGCUCAGUCGGUAGAGCAUGAGACUCUGAAUCUCAGGGUCAUGGGUUCAAGCCUCAUGAUGGUUCAAAA